AAUCAACGCUGGCGGCGUGCCUAACACAUGCAAGUCGAACGAGAAAGUGGGAGCAAUCCCAUGAGUACAGUGGCGAACGGGUGAGUAACACGUGACUAACCUACCUUCCAGUGGGGGAUAACCUCGGGAAACCGGGGCUAAGACCGCAUAACCGCGUGAGGUGAGAAUCCUUGCGAGCAAAGGGGUAAGACGCUGGAUGAGGGGUUCGCGGCCGAUUAGCUAGUUGGCGGGGGAACGGCCCACCAAGGCGAUGAUCGGUAGCCGGCCUGAGAGGGCGCACGGCCACACUGGAACUGAAACACGGUCCAGACUCCUACGGGAGGCAGCAGUGGGGAAUUUUGCACAAUGGGGGAAACCCUGAUGCAGCAACGCCGCGUGGAGGAUGAAGUCCCUUGGGACGUAAACUCCUUUCGACCGGGACGAUAAUGACGGUACCGGUGGAAGAAGCCCCGGCUAACUCCGUGCCAGCCGCCGCGGUAACAC
rnacentral:rRNA from 1 species